UACGUAGGGGGCAAGCGUUGUCCGGAAUCAUUGGGCGUAAAGCGCGUGUAGGCGGCUCGGUAAGUCCGCUCUGAAAGUCCAGGGCUCAACCCUGGGAUGCGGGUGGAUACUGCCGGGCUCGAGUCCGGAAGAGGCGAGUGGAAUUACCGGUGUAGCAGUGAAAUGCGCAGAUAUCGGGAGGAACACCAACGGCGAAAGCACUCUGCUGGGCCGACACUGACACUGAGAGACGAAAGCUAGGGGAGCGAAUGGG
rnacentral:rRNA from 1 species